CAGUUUCUUCUCAGGCCUUGGCUUUAAAGUGUUAAGACAGACAGAAAGGGUCUCUAUUGUCAGAGAGCUUGUGGGCCAGUGAGAAUGAAUCAGAAGACACUUCCGUUCCUGCUCUGCCUUGGAGCUUAAACUUCCUUCCCAAUAAUAGCUAUUGUUUAUUGGGAUUAUCGCAAGUAAGCCUCACAACUCCACCAAGAAGCACUUCUUACUAUCUGCAUUAAUUUACUCCAAGUCAUUCACUGGUUAGCAAGUGACUGAGCUGGGAUUUGAGCUGAACCCUAUUCUGGAGCCUUUGCUCUUAACCACUGUGCUAUACUGCCUUGGGUUCAAGGUCUUGCACCAAAAGAAGGAUUGGAAAAAAGGAAUGGCAGACGAGAAACCCUGACUCCCUAAAACACAUCUGGUGGUGUCUGGAACAACAACCAAGGCCAGUGUAGUCCAUGAUGAGGGCUUCAUGUUUGUAAUGUGAAAAGCAACCCAGUGGAUUUAGGUGCUAUCUUCUUUCAGCACCCCCUUAAGUUACACUAAGGCACUGGGAGGGAGAGGGAAUUUAUGUGAGAAUGGCAGGACUGAGCCCCUCUGAAAAAAGUCACUGUAACCUGAUCAGAAUACCAAAACUGCCCAGCAUCAGAGCCCACUGCAGUCACUUCUUCAGUGGCAGCAGAGAGAAGCCAGGCUUCUCUGGCCAGAGCCCUGCAUUUACAAUGCCCCUGGGUUCCUAGGGGUGCUGUAAGCUCCUCGCCAGUAUUGACUUACGGCAGUGGGGAGAGGAGAGACCAGGACUUUACAUGCCCAUUUGACAGAAAGGGAAACUGAAGCACAAAAAAGGUGUGGAUUACACCAGAAACAUGGAUUGUGAAAUUAAAGAUUCCUCCUGAGGAUAUUUUAGCCUGGCAAGCUUACCACCUUUUGGCAUCACAAUUCUAACUGUUCUGGUGAACAUACAAAAUAGCAAAUUAAGCCUUUUGAGGUGAUAUGGAGGGAAAUGUAGGACCAGUGUAAUAACAUCUGCUACUAGGAAUUCCAGGUGAGCUUCUGGAUGGUCAGGAGGUGUCUCCAUCUCUGGAGUUUAAAGACCCCUGGUGUUUGGGAACCAAUUUUCAGGAGUUCACCAGCAAGUUAAGAGAACGGGCUUAUGCAGACUGGAUGCAAUUUUCCUAAGAUGUUUUCUUCUCAAAUAUUCCUGAACUCACAUGAGCCUUCCAUACUUUCUAGCAGUAACUAGAAAUAGAUAGUAUUAUUAACAAUUUAACAAAACCAGAAGCUAGAACAUCCAAAUCCAAUGAACAGAAUGGCUGUUUUUCUUACUGAAGAAUAAGAGCAACAGAUCCCAAUAAUUCAGGCUAGCAAUAAGGAAGGGCUUUGUUCUCAUCCCCAGCUCUUAGAGACUGGUGAGGGUCUGCUUCAUGCCCACAGCCCUGGUCUGGCCUGUCCAGAACAGUGGGAGGUGUGCAGGUAGGUGGAUGUGAAUCUCUCACCUUUCCCACCAAUAGGGUCCAGUUGCUUCCUUCCUGGAGAGGCAACAAACCAGAGCAGGGGUGAUUCUUUUACCUGCUGAACUCAAGUAGAACUAACUUAGAGAUGGAGGGAAGUGGGUGUGGGUAGAACAAGAGAGGCAGUGUCCCACACCUGGCACGCUGAGUCAUUUACCCCUGGGAGUCGCUCAGUAUAAUCAUUUCAGAUAAUGGAGAAGGCUUGUAUUGCAGGGUCAGAGGACCCGGAUUCUGGUCCUGUUUCUAGUCACUUGCUUGCUGUGUGAUUCCGGACAAAAGACCUAGUCUCUCUGAAUCAGCUGUAUCAACUAACUUAAGGGUAGUGGCCAUAGUUUUUCCCCUCAUAAAUGGAUAUGCAGAUAAAAUAGACCCUCAAUACAGAUGUCAUCCGAAUCCAUCCUGAUCAAUUGCCAGUUCUCACCAGGUUAUGAUGUAAGUUAAUGUGCAGCAUGUUUAGAGCACCUAGCACAGGGGAGGGGAGGGAGGUACUUGUCAUUUUCCACUCUCAGUGACCUCAGAAUCCCACCUUUCCCCUCUCCGACUUCCCUCCCAGGGUGCAGGAAAGGUCUGCGUUUGUUUUCUGGGCUCUGCCUGAAGGGCUAGUUGCUUAGGACAGAAAGCAUUUCUGUAGCCUCGCUUCCUCCCAGUUGGUGGAACAGCCACUGUCCACUCUGGUUUACAGCCCAUUUAUGGUGGGGUAAUCUGGUCACUGGGUGUUUGUGUAGUGUUUAAUCAUUAGGAGGUGGCCAGUUCUAAUACUGUGAGCCCCAGGGCAUCUAUGAAUAAGUCAGCUAUUUGCUUCAACCUAUCAGAGUCUGUUUUUGGAAGGCUUCUCUCCAAGAACACAAGGCUGACCCCUGACACAGACAGUUCCAGGGGCGCUGGGGUAGGUUACUUCUGAAGGGCACAGUGGAACACAGCUACCGGAGGUGGCUAUUACAGUGGCUUUGAGUAUCAGAGUGGGGCACCUACUGGCCUGGAAAACAAGUGGUUGGCCUUCAACGAUAGGAUUUCCCAGAGAACAAAACUCCCCAGGCUCAGUCUCUUUUCUCCAUCCCUCCCGCACAUUCUGUCUUCCUUUCUACCAAACCGGGACUGCUGUUUCUCUCCCUCACCACCUAUAACUCCCACCUGUUUUCCAAGGUCCAGCUAAAAGCCUACCACCUCCAGGAAGCCUUCCUUCUGACCCAUGCUACAGUGCUCUUGUUCUGCCCUCUGAAUCUGAACGCACUGACAUCUCCCUGACUGCGCUGUCCCUUCCUUUAGUCGCUCACGACCUGAUCUCUGAGAUAGAGAGAGGGCUUUGGGAUCUUUGAAAAAGGCUCCACUCCAGGCCUCUGUGUCCCCAAAGCACCUCUUACACAAGGAGUUCCCAGCAAGUACUAUGCCUGAUGAGAGGUGUUAGGGACUGAAUUCCCCUUCCCAUGCCCCAAAUUCACAUUGAAAUCUAACCCCCAAUGCGAUAGUGUUUAGAGGUGGAGUCUUUGGAAGGUGAUUAGUCAUGAAGACAGAGCCCUUGUGAGUGAAGUUAGUGCCUAAUAAAAAGGAUCCCAGAGAGCUAGCUUGCCCUCUUUCUGCCAUGUGAACGUACAAGUAGAAGUCCGAAUUUCUGCAGCCCAGAAGAGGGCCUUCAUCAGAACUCGACCAUGCCGGCAUCCUGACCUUGGACUUCCAGCUUCCAGAACUGUGAGAAAGAAGUGCCUGUUGCUUAUAGCCACACAAUGUGUGCUACUUUGUUAUAGCAGCCUGAAUGGAUUAAAACAGGUGGGACAGCCACACCCCCACAUCAUCUCAGGGAGGCUUGCCCUGAUUUUUUUUUUUAUUACACUUUAGAUUCUGGGGUACAUGUGCACAAUGUGCAGGUUUGUUAUAUAUGUAUACAUGUGCCAUGUUGGUGUGCUGCACCCAUUAACUCGACAUUUACAUUAGGUAUAUCUCCUAAUGCUUUCCGUCCCCCCUCCCCCCACCCCACAACAGGCCCCAGUAUGUGAUGUUCCCCUUCCUGUGUCCGAGUGUUCUCAUUGUUCAAUUCCCACCUAUGAGUGAGAACAUGCGGUGGCUUGCCCUGAUGUUUACUGAAGACCUACUCUGUGUCACCCACUGUGCUAAGGGCUGAGACAGUCCUGAGAGUGAGAAAAACAACAGUGUUCAUAGUGAAAAAGCCAAGGUCUCUGGAUGGAGAGAGAUAACCCAUCCAUCUAAAACUGGAGUUCAUUUCAGUAAGUGCUGAAUGAGCACCGACUAUGUGGCAGACAUCAUAUUUUUGGGUCCUGAAAACCCAGUGAUAAAUAAGAUAAUCCCUGUCUUCAAGCCAAGCAACAGGGAAAAUAGGAAAAAAGAAGGUAAAGAUUUGGUUAGACUUAAAAUAAAGGAUAGCACGGGGUCCUUUGGGAGCCCUGAGGAAGGGACUUACUAGGCCUGAGAUGCCUAGAAGUGGGCAUUGGAGCUGAAUCCAGGAAGAGGAUGUGUUAGCCUGGCAAAGAAGGGUCAGGAGAGGGCAUCCCAGGGGGCAAAGGCAUGGAGGUUUACAAUACCCCGGAGCGUGCUAGAGACUGCCAAGUGUUUGGUGCAGCCGGCUUAGAUGUUGGGGACGAGGCGGGUGUGAUAGCAGGGGCCAAGGCUGGAGGGUCAUCUCUGAGGCUUGCACUUUAUCCUGUAUGUGACACAGAGCCACAAAGGGUUUUCAGCAGGCAGGUGGCACACAGGAUCAGAUCUGCAUUUCAGGAGGAUCACUGUGGCUGUGCUGGGAUGAUGCGCUGGGUAACAGGACGGGCACAGCAGGACAGUAGCAGUGAGAGCAGAGAGACAGUGCCAGGAACCGCAGCACACAAGGACGUGCUACAGAGCAGUGGAUGAGGGAGGGAGAGGAAGCGUUCGUCCCAGCUCUCCAGUGGAGCUCAAACCUGAAGUCUCAGAGCUGACCUCUGUGGCACCAGAGAGGCUGGGUCAUUAGCAUGACAAGUGCUGCUUGUGUACAGAAGCCUCCCUAGCUGACUUCCUGCAGGGACAUUCAAGGCCAGGGCUCCCAUUAGCUCCCCCAGCUUGCUGGCUUUGCUCACUACCCCUUUAUUCCAGAUCAUUAAGAACGCAGCCCUCUGGGAGGUUUCCUUGAGGCCUUUGUUUAAACUGAGAAGCAAGUACAUUUAAUUGCCUCAGCUAGACACCCUGCUUUACUCUCCUCACACCCUCCACACCCCUUCCUGGUCGGUACCCCGGGCCCUCCCCCAGGCAGCUUCAUCCCACAGCUUGUGUCCUGAAACAUAAUAAGUGCAUGCUCUGAGGCCCUCCUCAAAUUAUGGUUCUGAUCUUUACUUCCAAAAACAGAGCUGGAAUUAUAGCUUGGCUCCAUGAGAAGUUCAAAUCCACAGGGUCAUAAACCCUUUCAUGUUCUGUUUCAAGACCUUUGCUGGGGAUUUUAACAGAGUUCCCCAAGGACAGAGGUCAGGGAAUAAGAGCUGAGUGAGACCUCCCAAAGCAGAUCACAAAGAGAAGGGGACACUGCACCAUGGAGGUGACACAGGCCAGUGGCCACGGUGCUGGACCUGGGGCUGAGAGGACCCACAUGUAUAUCCUGGCCGAUUUAGCAGCCCGAUGAAGACAUGGGGGCUCAGGAUGGUUAACUGACCUCUACGUAGCAGCACAGUCAGCAUCUGAACUUGUAAGAGUGUCACAUAGGUUAAAAUCAUUUUUCCUGGCCCAGUGCGGUGACUCACGCCUGUAAUCCCAGCACUUUGGGAGGCCGAGAUGGGCUGAUCACCUGAGGUCAGGAAUUUGAGACCAGCCUGGCCAACAUGGUGAAACCCCAUCUCUACUAAAAAUACAAAAACAUUAGCCAGGCAUGGUGGCGGGUGCCUGUAAUCCCAGCUACUGGGGAGGCUGAGGCAGGAGAAUUGCUUGAAUCCGGGAGGCUGAGGUUGCAGUGAGCUGAGAUUGCGCCAUUGUGCUCCAGCCUGGGUGACAAGAGCAAAACUCCAUCCAAAAAAACCCCACAUUUUCCCAAAGCAAUAAUAGACUGGGUUAAACCAGUCAGUCUCCCACAAGAGAAGUUCCUGAACAUGAAUAACCCGAUUUUUUUGAAGGCAAGUUGGGCCAUGGUUAUCUCUCUUUGAGGACUGGCUGAGGACUGAGUGGGUGGGUUCACUGUGUGCCACAACAGCAGGGUUGAUUUAUGCCAGGCAUGAGUGGCUUACAGCCGACUGAUGCCCCUUUCUAAUGGGUCACAGCCCUGUUCUGGUUAUUGGCUAGUGCCCUAUUCUGGUUGGUUGGCACCAGAAGCACACUGGUUUUAAACAUUUUGCACAUCAGCCCUGCAUCACAGUGCCUGGCAGUCAUUUAUUCCUUCAUGGUAUAUGUAAUAAGCACCCUCUCUGGACGGGCCCUGUGCUGGGAGAGGGGAUUCACCUGCAAACGGAGCUGACCUGGUUUCUGUCUUAUUGAUACUGAUAGUCUAGUGGGAAAGACAUAACAGGCAAAUAAAUAAAAAUUAACACACAUGAAAGUAAGAGAUGUCAAAUAAACAGUUUCCAAAAAGAAACCAACAGCUGAAACUUUCUUUAGAUUGAGUGGUCAGUAGCAGCCUCUCUAAGUGGUGAAGUUUGAGUUGAGACCUGAAGGAAGAGAAUAAGCCAGGCUUAUAAGGAGAAAAGGAGAGAGGGGGGGAAGCACAGUCUAUGCAGAGGGGACAGUAUGUGCAAAGCUUCUGACGAAAGAGAAGAUCCGGCACGUCCAG
rnacentral:lncRNA from 10 species